CGCGGCCUAUCAGCUUGUUGGUGGGGUAAAGGCCUACCAAGGCAUCGACGGGUAGCUGGUCUGAGAGGACGAUCAGCCACACUGGGACUGAGAUACGGCCCAGACUCCUACGGGAGGCAGCAGUGGGGAAUAUUGCACAAUGGGCGCAAGCCUGAUGCAGCGACGCCGCGUGAGGGAUGACGGCCUUCGGGUUGUAAACCUCUUUCAGUAGGGAAGAAGCGAAAGUGACGGUACCUGCAGAAGAAGCUCCGGCCAACUACGUGCCAGCAGCCGCGGUAAGACGUAGGGGGCGAGCGUUGUCCGGAAUUAUUGGGCGUAAAGGGCUCCUAGGUUGUUCAGUAAGUCGACUGUGAAAAUCCAAGGCUCAACCUUGGGACGCCAGUCGAUACUGCUGUGACUCGAGUUCGGUAGAGGAGUGUGGAAUUCCUGGUGUAGCGGUGAAAUGCGCAGAUAUCAGGAGGAGCACCAACGGCGAAGGCAGCACCCUGGGCCGAUACUGACACUGAAGAGCGAAAGCAUGGGGAGCAAACAGGAUUAGAUACCCUGGUAGUCCACGCCGUAAACGUUGGGUACUAGGUGUGGCGUCCCGAUCAACGGAUGCCGUGCCGAAGCUAACGCAUUAAGUACCCCGCCUGGGGAGUACGG
rnacentral:rRNA from 1 species